AUAUUUGCAUCAUUCUUUUUUACCAUUGAUUUGUGCCAUUGAUUUGUGCUUUGGUUUGGGGAUUAAUAGUAGUUACCUUUUUUUGUUGUUUAAUGUGGAGACACCACCUCUCAUUUUAUUAAUUUCAGAGACACUGCCCUUGAAAGUGUCAAGCAGCUGAUAAUGAGUUUAGAAAUAAAGCUUGACUCACUUACUGCUUAGCACCAUAAAGAGAAAGAGAAAUAGAGACUAUGCCUUUAAAAUGUAGAAGAAACAUGGAGAAUCAGAUACAAGACAAUGAAGGUCGAAAAUGAUGCAGCUGCUGCAGAAGAUAUGCAAAAGAAUUUGCAAGAUCUUAAACAGAGAUGUAGAAUAUUGAAGACAUUGAUUGAAGAAGAACCAUAAAAAUAUCAUACUCACUUCAUCAAUAUAUCAAGAAAGGGAUAGAAGCUGACGGAAAUCACGGAAUUGAGGAACCUUACAAGAAGGUUCAUGCUGCUAUUCGU